rnacentral:rRNA from 1 species
AGAAUCAACGCUGGCGGCGUGCCUAACACAUGCAAGUCGAACGAGAAAGUGGUAGCAAUACCAUGAGUAAAGUGGCGCACGGGUGAGUAACACGUGACUAACCUACCUGGAGUGGGGGAUAACUGAGGGAAACUUUAGCUAAUACCGCAUAAUACCUACGGGUCAAAGGAGCAAUUCGCUUUGGGAGGGGGUCGCGGCCGAUUAGCUAGUUGGCGGGGUAAUGGCCCACCAAGGCGAUGAUCGAUAUCCGGCCUGAGAGGGCGCACGGACACACUGGAACUGAAACACGGUCCAGACUCCUACGGGAGGCAGCAGUGGGGAAUUUUGCGCAAUGGGGGAAACCCUGACGCAGCAACGCCGCGUGGAGGAUGAAGUCCUUCGGGACGUAAACUCCUUUCGAUCGGGACGAUAAUGACGGUACCGGAAGAAGAAGCCCCGGCUAACUUCGUGCCAGCAGCCGCGGUAAUACGAGGGGGGCGAGCGUUGUUCGGAAUUAUUGGGCGUAAAGGGUGCGUAGGCGGUUUGGUAAGUCACUUGUGAAAUCUCCCGGCUUAACUGGGAGGGUGCGCCGAAAACUGUCGAGCUAGAGUGUGGGAGAGGAAAGUGGAAUUCCUGGUGUAGCGGUGAAAUGCGUAGAUAUCAGGAGGAACACCUGCGGUGUAGACGGCUUUCUGGACCACUACUGACGCUGAGGCACGAAAGCGUGGGGAGCAAACAGGAUUAGAUACCCUGGUAGUCCACGCCCUAAACGAUGCAGACUUGGUGUUGGCCCUUCAUUGGGUCAGUGCCGAAGCUAACGCGGUAAGUCUGCCGCCUGGGGAGUACGGUCGCAAGGCUGAA